UACGAAGGGGGCUAGCGUUGCUCGGAAUCACUGGGCGUAAAGGGUGCGUAGGCGGGUCUUUAAGUCAGGGGUGAAAUCCUGGAGCUCAACUCCGGAAUUGCCUUUAAGACUGCAUCGCUAGAAUUGUGGAGAGGUAAGUGGAAUUCCGAGUGUAGAGGUGAAAUUCGUAGAUAUUCGGAAGAACACCAGUGGCGAAGGCGACUUACUGGACACAUAUUGACGCUGAGGUGCGAAAGCGUGGGGAGCAAACAGG
rnacentral:rRNA from 1 species